rnacentral:rRNA from 1 species
UACGUAGGUGGCGAGCGUUUUCCGGAUUUACUGGGCGUAAAGAGCGCGCAGGCGGUCGGCCAAGUCGAGUGUGAAAGCCCCCGGCUCAACUGGGGAGGGUCACUUGAUACUGGUCGACUCGAAGGCGGGAGAGGGAAGUGGAAUUCCCGGUGUAGUGGUGAAAUGCGUAGAUAUCGGGAGGAACACCAGUGGCGAAGGCGACUUCCUGGCCCGUUCUUGACGCUGAGGCGCGAAAGCUAGGGGAGCAAACGGG